rnacentral:lncRNA from 12 species
GGGGUUCCCACCCGCACAGGGCACGGUGGUUUUUUUCUUUCAGGUUUUGUUCUUAUAUAUAAAGGUAACGUGGGCAGGGGGUGGGAGUGAGGGCUUCGUACCUAAGCCAUAAAGGAAGAAAACUGGAGUUUGGGUGUAGCCACUGGGAGGAUCUUGGGGGAAAUCUGUGCAACAAAAUAAAGAAAAUGCUGGCUGAAUUAUUUUCUUUCCAAGGGCCAGGUCAGAACAGAGUGUGCAGAGACCCCUUCUACUAGGCCCAUAAAACGUGAGCAAACUUUCUGGACCACUAGCUCAACACUUUUCUCUUAAAAUUUUUCUUGUUGUUACUCAAAGGUGUUCUCCACUCACCUCAAUAUUUUGAAACGAAGGUUCGACUUGGCCAGUUCCGCCUUCACGACCCUCAGAACUUAGCAGCUUAGUUCAACUCCACCGAAUUCCAAGUAGCUGCAAGGGUAUAUUUUCUCCUUUCAAUUAUGUUCUCGCUUCCUGUCCUGAUUAUUGCAAGUUAUGCAAAUCAAGCUGGAGAAGAGAUCUAAUUUAAUCAACCGUGGGCUUGCUUGCAUGGAUUUGAAUAUUAGCUGCCGUCUCCAUGUAAAUGAUUGGAGAGAGGGGAACUUGUUGCUAUGCGCGGUGACCAAUUCCUGGUGCCACCUGGACCCCGAGCUCAAGGUCAGGCCCAAAGUCAGAUUGGUGGUGGGAGUCCGCGCUCUGGAGGGAGGCGCUGCACCUCCAGAUCCGGGAAAGCAGCUGAGGUAUCUCUCCCCUGAGGGAAAAAAAGAAAAGGAGAGGAAGCUCUUUGUGGCUGGGACGAGAAAGAAACUCCAAAUCGCACAAAGGGCCCAGAAGAGAGAAGCCACCGGCACAGAAAAGGUUCUCAGCGAAUAGGGGAGGACAGUACAGGCCCAGAAGGUUCCGGGGGUGGGGGCACCCCUCUGGCUGACCACAAACAAAAUCCUCAUCUCUUUGAAGUGCUAAGGCGGCUCUUCAUGGGGGGGGAGGGGGGAGAAAGGGAGGGGGGUUCGGGGUAGUAAACACACUAUCUGCUCUGGGAGGUGCGGGGCCACUUUCCCGGCACAGAUGUUGUUUUGCUGUUAGAGCC